UAUUGCAAUUAAUUAAGCAAUUUAGUAAAACAAAUUUGCAUUUUUUGUUGUCUUCUAAUGACUAUUUUGCAUAUUAAAAGUAAAGUCUUCUUUAAAAUGUGAAGUACUCUCUUGAUUAUGCCAGCUCUUUUCUCAUUCUGCUAAGGCUAUAAAUAAAGCUUUCUAUUUAAGGCUGGCAUUAUAUCAACCCACCUGCUUCUGGAAGGGAGAGGAAAAAAAUCAGAAUCGCUCAACCUGCACAUUGCUGUCAGCUUGUGAUUAUGUGAAUGAAUCUCAGUUACCAAUGAAAGAAGACUUAUCCCUGGAGAAAGCAUUCAUUGAUGAGGAUGGCAGCAGCUGA
rnacentral:lncRNA from 1 species